UACGAAGGGGGCUAGCGUUGCUCGGAAUCACUGGGCGUAAAGCGCACGUAGGCGGAUUUGUAAGUCAGGGGUGAAAUCCCGGGGCUCAACCUCGGAACUGCCUUUGAUACUGCAAGUCUUGAGUCCGGAAGAGGUGAGUGGAAUUCCUAGUGUAGAGGUGAAAUUCGUAGAUAUUAGGAAGAACACCAGUGGCGAAGGCGGCUCACUGGUCCGGUACUGACGCUGAGGUGCGAAAGCGUGGGGAGCAAACAGG
rnacentral:rRNA from 1 species